UACGUAGGGUGCAAGCGUUGUCCGGAAUUAUUGGGCGUAAAGAGCGUGUAGGCGGCCAUACAGGUCAGCUGUGAAAACUCGAGGCUCAACCUCGAGACGUCGGUUGAAACCGUUUGGCUAGAGUCCGGAAGAGGAGAGUGGAAUUCCCGGUGUAGCGGUGAAAUGCGCAGAUAUCGGGAAGAACACCUAUGGCGAAGGCAGCUCUCUGGGACGGUACUGACGCUGAGACGCGAAAGCGUGGGGAGCAAACAGG
rnacentral:rRNA from 1 species